rnacentral:rRNA from 1 species
GGGGAAUCUUGCGCAAUGGGCGAAAGCCUGACGCAGCGACGCCGCGUGAGGGAAGAAGGCCUUCGGGUCGUAAACCUCUGUCGGGGGGGAAGAAAAUUCUGAGGGCUAAUAUCCUUUGGAAUUGACGGUACCCCCAAAGGAAGCAUCGGCUAACUACGUGCCAGCAGCCGCGGUAAUACGUAGGAUGCAAGCGUUGCUCGGAAUUAUUGGGCGUAAAGGGCGCGUAGGUGGCCCUAUAAGUCAGAUGUGAAAGCCCUCGGCUUAACUGAGGAACUGCAUUUGAAACUGUGGGGCUUGAGUACGGUAGAGGGGGGUGGAAUUCCUGGUGUAGCGGUGAAAUGCGUAGAUAUCAGGAAGAACACCGGCGGCGAAGGCGGCUUCCUGGACCGAUACUGACACUGAGGUACGAAAGCGUGGGUAGCAAACA